rnacentral:lncRNA from 1 species
UACCUACUUGUACUCAUCACCUCCUCCUCCCAAGAAGCCCUAUUAUUAUCACUCUCCUCCACCACCUUCACCUCCUCCACCUAAGCCAUACUACUAUCAUUCACCACCACCACCUUCACCUCCUCCACCCAAGCCAUACUACUAUCACUCACCACCACCACCUUCACCUCCUCCACCUAAACCAUACUACUAUCACUCACCACCACCACCUUCACCUCCUCCACCUAAACCAUACUACUAUCACUCACCACCACCACCUUCACCUCCUCCACCUAAACCAUACUACUAUCACUCACCACCACCACCUUCACCUCCUCCACCUAAGUCAUAUUACUAUCACUCACCACCACCACCACCCAAAAAGAAGCCAUACUACUACCAUUCUCCCCCACCACCUUCACCACCUCCUCCUAAGCCAUACUACUAUCACUCUCCCCCACCGCCUUCACCUCCUCCACCUACGCCAUACUACUAUCAUUCUCCCCCACCACCCUCACCACCUCCACCUAAGCCAUACUACUACCAUUCACCACCACCCCCACCGAAGAAGAAGCCUUACUACUACCACUCUCCACCACCACCUUCACCUCCUCCUCCAAAGAAGCCAUACUACUACCACUCCCCACCUCCUCCCAAGAAGCCCUACAAAUAUUCAUCUCCCCCACCUCCAGUGCACCCUUACCCUCAUCCUCACCCCCAUCCCCAUCCACACCCCCACCCUCACCCUCCCUACGUUUACAAAUCUCCUCCCCCACCCCCUAAGAAGCCAUACAAGUACCCAUCCCCACCACCUCCAGUCCACGUUUACCCUCACCCUCACCCGCAUCCACACCCUCACCCUCAACCUCACCCC